rnacentral:rRNA from 1 species
UACGGGGGGGGCAAGCGUUGUUCGGAAUUACUGGGCGUAAAGGGCUCGUAGGUGGCCAACUAAGUCAGACGUGAAAUCCCUCAGCUUAACUGGGGAACUGCGUCUGAUACUGGAUGGCUUGAGAUUGGGAGAGGGAUGCGGAAUUCCAGGUGUAGCGGUGAAAUGCGUAGAUAUCUGGAGGAACACCGGUGGCGAAGGCGGCAUCCUGGACCAACACUGACACUGAGGCGCGAAAGCCAGGGGAGCAAACGGG